rnacentral:rRNA from 1 species
CUCGCACACUCUCGAGAUUCUCCUCCCUCCCGAAUGCUUCUCCUCCUGUAUAUAAGCGUCCCCAUUCACCCACCUCCUCCCUCCAGUUCACAUCCACCUCAUACUUUCUCUUGCAACAAGUCAGUAAAAGAUUCCGUUUGUAGAGCGAGCGAGAGCUCCGGUGUAAAAUCGAUGGGUCUGGACGUAGGAGAGAUCGGCAUGGGCGCAGAUUUGAGCCUGGAUUUGAAGAUGUUCGCGGCCAAGAGCCUGGGGCGGGUCAGGGAAGCGCCGGCGGCUGCCAUGGACGACUGUAUCCGGAGGCUGGAGGAGGAGAAGAGCAAGAUCGAGGUGUUCCGGCGCGAGCUCCCGCUCUGCGCGCGCCUCCUCGCCGACGUGAUUGAUGUGAUGAAGAAGGAGGUGGAGGAGAAGAAGAGAGGCGGCGAUCGAGGAGAGGACAAGGAGGACGCCGGCGCAGGCGACAAGAGCAACUGGAUGAGCACCGCGCAGCUCUGGACCGGCGAUUCCGUCCGGGGGGACGAUGCUUCCGAGGAUGCGAGGAGGAGGUCGUCGGAGCCGGAAUCUCACGACGGCGCUGCCUUGCCGUUCAAGGCCGUGGGCUCCGGCGCGCCGGCGUUCGCGCCGCCGAGUUUGAGGAAGGAUGACAAGGCUGUGCGGAUGCCGGAUCUGCCGUUUCUGUCCCCGGCACCGACCAAGACCUCCCCGGCUGCUGCUACCGGCGGCGCUGAAGAAAGCCGCCGCCAGCUUGUGGGAUUCGCGCAAGAAGCGGCGAGGGCUGCAGCCGCCCUGGCACCGGCCGCCCCUUCCCUAGGCCUCCAGGCGCAGUCGCAGCAGACAGCCCAGCAGCAGCAGCAAGCGAGGAAGGCGCGGCGGUGCUGGUCGCCGGAGCUGCACCGCCAGUUCGUCACUGCCCUGCACCAACUCGGUGGUCCCCAAGUUGCUACUCCAAAGCAAAUCAGGGAGCUGAUGAAGGUGGAUGGCCUGACCAAUGAUGAAGUGAAGAGCCAUCUCCAGAAAUACCGUCUACACAACCGAAGGGCGCCAGGAUCUCCGGCAGCCAACCGGCCGAUCGUGCUCAUGGGAGGGCUCUGGAUAACUCAGGACCAAAGCAGCUCCCAGUCAGGAGGGUCACCUCCGGGGCCCCUUCACUUCUCAAGCUCAGGCGUAGCUGCCUCAUCGGUGACGGUCAGCGGCGAGGAGGAAGAUGGCAGAUCCGAGAGCUAUGGCUGGAAAUGAUCAACAAGUUAUAUUAGAGUUUGUUCGGAGUUUCCGGGUCGCGCGAUGACAGUGGUAUCUUGAGAGAUUCCUGAGACAUGAUUGUAGUGUAGUCUUUUUUGUUGUAUGCAGGGAGAUCAAGCCUUGAGUGCUUUGAGAUGAAACUCUUGCUGUUAUUAUGUAAGUACAUCGGGAAGAGGUUAUACUAGUUACAGUUUUGCGGAUAUGUUACUCUAAAAAGGUUGGGGCAGAGCUACAAUUUUCGCCCAGAGAAUUUACUACCAAUGUUCAGUGUCAGACUUUUCUCUUGAUAAGCAAUUUUCCGUUUCG